rnacentral:rRNA from 1 species
UACGGAGGGUGCAAACGUUGCUCGGAAUCAUUGGGCGUAAAGCGCACGUAGGCGGACCGCUAAGUCGGAUGUGAAAGCCCUCGGCUUAACCGAGGAAGUGCAUUCGAAACUGACGGUCUUGAGUAUGGAAGAGGGUCGCGGAAUUCCCGGUGUAGAGGUGAAAUUCGUAGAUAUCGGGAGGAACACCAGUAGCGAAGGCGGCGACCUGGGCCAAUACUGACGCUGAGGUGCGAAAGCGUGGGGAGCAAACAGG